rnacentral:rRNA from 1 species
AUUGAACGCUGGCGGCAUGCCUUACACAUGCAAGUCGAACGGCAGCACGGGAGCAAUCCUGGUGGCGAGUGGCGAACGGGUGAGUAAUAUAUCGGAACGUGCCCGGUCGUGGGGGAUAACGUAGCGAAAGCUACGCUAAUACCGCAUACGAUCUACGGAUGAAAGCGGGGGAUCGCAAGACCUCGCGCGAUUGGAGCGGCCGAUAUCAGAUUAGGUAGUUGGUGAGGUAAAGGGCUCACCAAGCCGACGAUCUGUAGCUGGUCUGAGAGGACGACCAGCCACACUGGGACUGAGACACGGCCCAGACUCCUACGGGAGGCAGCAGUGGGGAAUUUUGGACAAUGGGCGCAAGCCUGAUCCAGCAAUGCCGCGUGCAGGAUGAA